GCUUGUCCCCGGCUGGCCAAUGGCGCACCUCUCCCUGACUCACAUGACGUCUUUCUGUGCGCUCCCUGUCCUCUCAGCGCUCAAUCCCGGCGAGUGCAGGCAUCAUUGAAGACUUGACGCCGGCGGAAUUGGACGUCCUCUGUCCCCGGCAGAACUGACCAGGUGUUAUCUUAAGCAAACUUUACUGCCUUACGAUGAAGCUGACCAUCCCGUCGCCGACAAUGACCGUGCUUCGCCGGAGCAACAGACUUUUUCCGUCUCCAAACGGAGAGGCGCAUCGGCGAGACAAUAACGCCCAGAAGUUGUUGAAAUGAAUUGUGAUGAAAGAAGCUGACGCCACAAGAAGAAGAAGAAGAGACAGAAGAGCGCUAACAGCAUUGGCCUCAGCUGCGGAGGGAAGGGAGGGAAGCGGAAACCGCUCGGAGCAGAAUGUUGUGAGGAACUGACGAGAGUUUCCGUCCAGGUCCAGACAUGAAGGAGGCACGCACGCAAGCUACACGCUACACACCACACACACACACCGUGCAACGGCACCUCCAGUCUGUCUGCGGUCUACCAAAACCAGCCACACACGCACAUGGCUGUUGAGGACGGCAGAUAAUGAGGGAGAUGCCAUUCCAGCUGUGAGGAGACGGAAGAAGUCGGCACACAAAGUCACGCAAACACAUACAUACAUACAUACAUACACACGCGCGCACACACACACAGAGAGCCCGGGGGCGCGUGAGCAGGUGAGCAUUAAGUCAGGCAGCUAAACAGAUCACGUCGCGGUAUGAUAUCUGCAGACAGGCAGACAGAGGAGGCCGGUCUGUACCUGCAGGCAGAGAGCAACAACUCACAGCACCCUCGCCAGGAAUUUCCUCCCCCUCCUGAGAGAGAGAGAGAGAGAGAGAGAGAGAGAGAGUGGGCGGGAGGGUGAAGGUGAGAGACGGGUUUAAACUGGGGUUUCCACUUUUUCAUACGCAGACUGUUUUUAGAAGUGUGCAUUCGUUUCCUAAAUUACUAGUUGAUCGUUUCAUAUUUAUAUUAAGCUGAUAAAGUCAAUUAAAUAAAUUAAGAAAAAAGAAAAUUUUGUAAGAUUGUAUUAAAUUUCUAUUUACAGCUCGAAACCUAAAGUUCUAAAGUCCUCCGUUUUAAUGUCGACCACAUGAAUCCACACCCCACUGCGAUAUAAAGACAGAUGUUUCUUCCGUUGCUUUGGAGUAAUUUUAUCCCCUCCUGUAUGAUUUGUCUAUCUGGAAUUACAAGUCGGUUUUGACAGGGCCCACGCUAUUAAUUGUUAAACACUACGGUAUCCAUUACACAAAUUUACUCCGCUGGUU